rnacentral:rRNA from 1 species
GACGAACGCUGGCGGCGUGCCUAAUACAUGCAAGUAGAACGCUGAAGGAAGGAGCUUGCUCUUUCCGGAUGAGUUGCGAACGGGUGAGUAACGCGUAGGUAACCUGCCUGGUAGCGGGGGAUAACUAUUGGAAACGAUAGCUAAUACCGCAUAACAGUAGAUAUCGCAUGAUAUGUGCUUAAAAGGUGCAAUUGCACCACUACCAGAUGGACCUGCGUUGUAUUAGCUAGUUGGUGAGGUAACGGCUCACCAAGGCAACGAUACAUAGCCGACCUGAGAGGGUGAUCGGCCACACUGGGACUGAGACACGGCCCAGACUCCUACGGGAGGCAGCAGUAGGGAAUCUUCGGCAAUGGACGGAAGUCUGACCGAGCAACGCCGCGUGAGUGAAGAAGGUUUUCGGAUCGUAAAGCUCUGUUGUAAGAGAAGAACGAGUGUGAGAGUGGAAAGUUCACACUGUGACGGUAUCUUACCAGAAAGGGACGGCUAACUACGUGCCAGCAGCCGCGGUAAUACGUAGGUCCCGAGCGUUGUCCGGAUUUAUUGGGCGUAAAGCGAGCGCAGGCGGUUAGAUAAGUCUGAAGUUAAAGGCUGUGGCUUAACCAUAGUACGCUUUGGAAACUGUUUAACUUGAGUGCAAGAGGGGAGAGUGGAAUUCCAUGUGUAGCGGUGAAAUGCGUAGAUAUAUGGAGGAACACCGGUGGCGAAAGCGGCUCUCUGGCUUGUAACUGACGCUGAGGCUCGAAAGCGUGGGGAGCAAACAGG